rnacentral:pre_miRNA from 1 species
CAUAUAUAUGAUACACAUAUAUUUUCAAUAUAUACACAUAUAUUUUAUAUAUACACAUAUAUAAAAUAUAUAUGAUAUAUAUAUGUGUGUGUGCUUAUGUGUGU